ensembl:lncRNA
UAGCUCUACUUUCUAUAGGUACGCCAAUCUGUAGAGCUGACUAGCUCUACUUUCUAUAGGUACGCCAAUCUGUAGAGCUGACGAGCUCUACUUUCUAUAGGUACGCCAAUCUGUAGAGAGCCGACUAGCUCUACUUUCUAUAGGUACGCCAAUCUGUAGAGCUGACUAGCUCUACUUUCUAUAGGUACGCCAAUCUGUAGAGAGCCGACUAGCUCUACUUUCUAUAGGUACGCCAAUCUGUAGAGCUGACUAGCUCUACUUUCUAUAGGUACGCCAAUCUGUAGAGAGCCGACUAGCUCUACUUUCUAUAGGUACGCCAAUCUGUAGAGAGCUGACUAGCUCUACUUUCUAUAGGUACGCCAAUCUGUAGAGAGCUCUGAAGUAAUCGACAAGUCUGUAUGGCACCAUAUACACACGCACAGUCCACUCCUUUACGAACUCAACCUGUGAAUGAUUAAGCAUCCAUUUACAAUUUUCACAAAACAUUUCUAUUAUUUGAGUGUUUUCUGUCGCUUGUAUAUGGACUCUAUCCAUAGAUCUUCUCUAGAUUGUUAUGAAACGGGGUCCACUUUGUCAAAAUAAUAAAGUCACGAACAUCAGACCUGG